UGCGAAUCCUCAUGCUUUACGCGGAGGAUGACUCGGUCGGGUCUUUCCCCUAUCAGAUUGUUGUUAAGGUAUUGGCCUAACAAGUCUUUGACGGGUAACGGAGAAUCAGGGUUCGAUUCCGGAGAGGGAGCCUGAGGGACGGCUACCACAUCUAAGGAAGGCACCAGGCGCGCAAAUUUCCCAAUGUACAUCGUACGAGGAAGUGACGAUCAAUAAUAAUGCGCGAGCUAUGCUUGUGCAAUUAGAAUGAACUAAAGUUAAAACGCUAAAUGACGAUCAAUUGGAGGGCAAGUCUGGUGCCAGCAGCCGCGGUAAUUCCAGCUCCAAUAGGAUAUAUCAAAGUUGUUGCAGUUGAAAAGCUCGUAGUCGUAUUUCUGGUGGGUUGAUGUUCGGUCAGGCAUAGCGCAAGUUGUGUUUGGUUUGGACCGCCUGCCAUUUUGUGGGUUAAAGUUGGGAUCGUGCAUGUAAAUGUGCUUUUUCAGCUCCACUCCGUCACUGAGAGCAAAUUGGAGUGCUCAAAGCAGGCUUUACAGCUUUGAACAUUUUAGCUUGGAAUGACAAAGUACGACUAUUCGUUCACUUUGUUGGUUAUGAAUGAAAAGUAAUGAUAAAUAGGAACAGUUGCGGGGGUACUCGUACUGGAAAGUCAGAGGUGAAAUUCUUGGAUUUUUCCACGACGAACGACUGCGAAAGCAUUUACCAAGGAUGUUUUCAUUGAUCAAGAACGAAAGUGCGAGGAUCGAAGAUGAUUAGAUACCAUCGUAGUUCGCACAGUAAACGAUGCCGACUCGGAAUUGGGACUUCAUUCGCUUCAUAGAA
rnacentral:rRNA from 1 species